GCCUGUGGGAUAGCUCAGUCGGUAGAGCAUGAGACUCUUAAUCUCAGGGUCAUGGGUUUGAGUCUUAUAUUGGGCA